AGCCGGAGGGAGGGGUGUCCGCAGGGCCUGCUCUGGAGGGGCCAUCUACCUGGGGGAGUGGGAAGGGGCUGUGAGGGGGCGGGCUAGGACCCAGGACCCCCUAGCAGAUAUGGAGGAGGGGAACACAGGUUCUCCUGGCAGGCAUCAUUUCCUAGCCCACUGGGUAGAUGCUCCAGGGGUCACUGGGGGAAGAACUGUGUAAAAACCCGGUGGAGGUCAGAGGAGAAGAAGAAAUACCAUCCAUGGGAAGGUGCUUAAUACAGAAAAAGACUAGAACUCCAGACAUUUCCCACUUUCAAAAAAUUGGCCUCCUUGGAGUUCCUGCCGUGGCGCAGUGGUUAACGAAUCCGACUAGGAACCAUGAGGUUGCGGGUUCGGUCCCUGCCCUUGCUCAGUGGGUUAAGGAUCUGGUGUUGCCGUGAGCUGUGGUGUAGGUUGCAGAUGCGGCUCGGAUCCUGUGUUGCUGUGGCUCUGGCGUAGGCCGGCGGCUGCAGCUCCGAUUCAACCCCUAGCCUGGGAACCUCCAUGUGCCGCCGGAAUGGCCUGAGAAAUGACAAAAAGACCAAAAAAAAAAAAAAAAAAAAAAAAA
rnacentral:lncRNA from 1 species